CCUUCUUUCCCUGCCACCAGGCCCAGCUUGUGGAGUUCUGCUGCUAGUGCUGGAAAGAGGAAUCACCAUUUUUCCUUGGCUUUAAGGGGUGGGGGAACUCCCCCCACCCCUUAAAGCCAAGGAAAAACACU